AGACUUUGGUGCACCUCACGGACAAAAAAUGUGAAAAGGAAGUAUUUACACAACAGGAUGGAAAAACCUCAAGCUCUUCAGAAGUUAUAAGUGAAGAAGAGUGCCAGAAGGUGCGUGACAAAAUUUCUGAAUUGAAGAAGGAGCAGCAGAGAUGGAAAGAUUGGCUGGCUCAGCAAGAAUUGGCGGCCCAGCAGCAGUUUCAGCAACUUCAGCAAAACUUCCAGUGGUUUCAAAACCAGCUGAGUGGACUGUUUGGUGGUAAAUAAGAUCCAGCACAUUGCAAAACUAUCACAGCAUACACUAGUUGGUUCAACAAGGUUGUAAAAUACAUUAUAUAAGAAAAGUUAACGUAAGCAUUUUGAUUAAGACUUCAUUUGUAGGAUUUAUUUGAGCAGUGUUAGUUUACACUAAGUAUAACUUAAGCAGAUAGUGCUUAAUAUAUGUUAAAUAUGCAUUUAUAUAGGUUUGUAAAUAUUAAUAUGCUAAUGAGUGAUUA